rnacentral:rRNA from 1 species
UACGGAGGGUGCAAGCGUUAUCCGGAUUCACUGGUUUAAAGGGUGCGUAGGUGGGCAAGUAAGUCAGUGGUGAAAUCUCCGGGCUUAACCCGGAAACUGACCAUUGAUACUAUUUGUCUGAAUACUGUGGAGGUCAGCGGAAUAUGUCAUGGUAGCGGUGAAAUGCUUAGAUAUGACAUAGAACACCAAUUGCGAAGGCAGCUGGCUACACAAAUAUUGACACUGAGGCACGAAAGCGUGGGGAUCAAACAGG